CCGGCGCAUUGGUCAGAGUCAGGGGGUCCUGAAACCUUAGGGUGUAUGUAUUUUUCUGGGCAGGAGUUUACUUUAUUUUUCUGGAUACCCACUUCUUGGGUUAUGAUUCAUAUGUGUAAAAUACAAUUAAUAAAUGCAUAGCAACAUUAAGAAAUAGAGAAGCCAUCAAUGGAAUAGAAUUUGAGGACUACGUGAAAGAAAGGAGGCAGAUGGGAUUAAAUUGGUGGGGAAACUAAGCUCAGAACAGGUAUAGGAGAAGAUGGCUGCUGCUUGUGGAGACAAACUUGGAGGUUCUCUAAAAUUGGUUUGGGGUAUCUGAUGUAGAAAGGGGUCCUAAGAGAAUCAUCAGAGGAGUAGUUUUUGGAUCAGUGGGUGAACUAGCCUCCACCUACCAUCUUGGCUGGUGGGAAUGGAGGGACUCUUUCACUCAGAAGAUUAGCCACUUGUAGACCACAGAUCUUCCCCCACAAUAACUGGAGAAAGGCUAUGGUAAAAAUUAAAAUAACAUCAAGAAACAGGCUAAGAGUGAUCAAGCACAGAGACAAGUCAGCAACUCCAAUUUCCAAAUGUUUGAAGAACAAAUACCACCAACUCAUCAGGGGACCUAAUAUCUGAGGUUACAAUGGAUUUUAAAAGAAGUAUAUUUGUCUAUACUUUUGUCUAUGAGAGGAUAUCAUGUUUACAAAACAAGAACAGUCAUAUGUGACAAUAAAAUCCUUAGAGACCUUGGGAGUAGGAAAUAAGAUUAUCCAAAUUAAAAAACCAAAAGCUCUGUUAACCAGAAUACAAAAAGAACACAAUUUAUGCACCGAAAUAAUGACCAAAAAUAUUGAGCAGAAGAAUUUUCCAAGAAUCUGCACAAAAAAGCACAGAAGCAAAAAGUAUCUAAGAGGGGCCUGCCCCGUGGCCGAGUGGUUAAGUUCGCGUGCUCCACUUUGGCAACCCAGAAUUUCACCUGUUUGGAUCCUCGAUGCGGACAUGGCACCAUUCCUCAAGCCAUGCUGAGGUGGUGUCCCACAUAGCACAACUAGAAGGACCUGCAACUAAAAUAUAUGACUAUGUACUGGGGGGCUUGGGGAGGAAAAAGAAGAAGAGGAAGGAGGAGAAGAAGCAAAAGCAGAAGCAGCAGCAGAAGAAGAAUGACAGCAGAUGUUAGGUGCCAAUCUUUAAAAAAAACAAAAAAAAAAAGUACAAACAGUGAAACAAAAAGAAAGACCCAGAAACUUCAAAAUCUAUCUAAUAGGAGUUCUCGAAGAAGAAAAUAGAAGAUGCCAAUUGCUUAAAUAGUAGAAAAUAAUUCCCCACAACUUAGAGGUAGAGGCUGUGAGUUUGAAUGGGCGCACUGAGGGCCAGCAAGGGGAAAAGAUAACAGAUCCUCCCUCCACACACCACAGAGAACUUUCAGAACACCAAGCAUAAAUGGACACUUGCAAAGAGAGAAACCAAAAAGACACAUAUAUAGGACAAUGAAUUGGAUUGACAUGAGAUUUCUCAAUGGCAAUAGUAGAUAAAGGAAGACAAAAGAUGUGAACCCUGAUUUAAAGAGUCUUCUCAGAUACACG
ensembl:lncRNA